rnacentral:rRNA from 1 species
GUGCCAGCCGCCGCGGUAAUACGAGUGCCCCAAGCGUUAUCCGGAAUCAUUGGGCGUAAAGGGUGUGUAGGCGGUUUAGUUAGUCUUCUGUUAAACCCCCGGGCUUAACUCGGGAACUGCAGAAGAAACGGCUAAACUUCGAGGCUGCGAGAGGUGAAUGGAACUCAUGGAGUAGGGGUGAAAUCCGUUGAUAUCAUGGGGAACACCGAAAGCGAAGGCAAUUCACUGGCGCAGAUCUGACGCUCUGACACGAAAGCGUGGGUAGCGAACGGGAUUAGAUACCCCGGUAGUCCACGCCCUAAACGUUGCGAACUAGCUUUAGGGAGUAUCGACCCUCUCUGAGGCGAAGCUAACGCGUUAAGUUCGCCGCCUGGGUAGUACGGCCGCAAGGCUAAAACUCAAAGGAAUUGGCGG